UACGAAGGGGGCUAGCGUUGUUCGGAUUUACUGGGCGUAAAGCGCACGUAGGCGGAUCGUUAAGUCGGGGGUGAAAUCCUGGAGCUCAACUCCAGAACUGCCUUCGAUACUGGCGAUCUUGAGUCCGGAAGAGGUGAGUGGAACUCCUAGUGUAGAGGUGGAAUUCGUAGAUAUUAGGAAGAACACCCGUGGCGAAGGCGGCUCUCUGGGACGGUACUGACGCUGAGACGCGAAAGCUAGGGGAGCAAACGGG
rnacentral:rRNA from 1 species